rnacentral:rRNA from 1 species
AAGUCAAGGGGUAACGGAAGUAGCUUGCUACUAGACGACGACCGGCGCACGGGUGAGUAACGCGUAUGUAAUCUGCCUUGUACAGAGGGAUAGCCCAGAGAAAUUUGGAUUAAUACCUCAUAGUAUUACUGGAUCGCAUGAUUUGGUAAUUAAAGCUCCGGCGGUACAAGAUGAACAUGCGUGACAUUAGCUAGUUGGUAAGGUAACGGCUUACCAAGGCUACGAUGUCUAGGGGUUCUGAGAGGAUGAUCCCCCACACUGGUACUGAGACACGGACCAGACUCCUACGGGAGGCAGCAGUGAGGAAUAUUGGUCAAUGGACGCAAGUCUGAACCAGCCAUCCCGCGUGAAGGAUGACUGCCCUAUGGGUUGUAAACUUCUUUUAUAUGCAAAUAAACCUACUUUCGUGAAAGUAGCUGAAGGUAGCAUAUGAAUAAACACCGGCUAACUCCGUGCCAGCAGCCGCGGUAAUACGGAGGGUGUAAGCGUUAUCCGGAUUUAUUGGGUUUAAAGGGUACGUAGGCGGUAAUAUAAGUCAGUGGUGAAAUCCUGCAGCUCAACUGUAGAACUGCCAUUGAAACUGUAUUACUUGAGUAUACUUGAGGUAGCGGAAUGA